rnacentral:rRNA from 1 species
AGAAUCAACGCUGGCGGCGUGCCUAACACAUGCAAGUCGAACGAGAAAGUGGAGCAAUCCAUGAGUAAAGUGGCGACCGGGUGAGUAACACGUGACUAACCUACCUUCGAGUGGGGGAUAACCUCGGGAAACCGAGGCUAAUACCGCAUAACAUCGUGAGAUCAAAGCAGUAAUGCGCUGGAAGAGGGGGUCGCGGCUGAUUAGCUAGUUGGCGGGUAAUGGCCCACAAGGCGAAGAUCGGUA